GAGGGGGGGAGGCCUAAAAUGCAAAUAUUAAAGGCAAAUUAAAGGACAUGUCAGUGGAAGGAUAAUUGGGGCAAAAAGGGUUUCCAUGGAAACCCUGGUUUUCAUAUUGCAGGAGGAUGCUGUCACCCCGGCAACUGAUUCCCCCCCCCCCCCAAAAAAUAUAGGCCCUGCAGCAGUAUUCCUCCAGGACUGGGGAGCUCUGGGAUGGGGGACACUGGGGUGGGUGGGAGCCAAUGGAGCAGAAGUGUGUCAGGAGAAGCUGGAGCAACCAUGGCAGGUCCCCAGGGAUUCUCCUGCUGACAUGGCCAUGGAUACUUGGGGACCCCCAGCAGGAGCCACACGGCUCCCUGGAGCUGGCUUUGAGUGGGGAGAAACCUCUGCAAAGCCUCUCAUCCUCAGACCGCUGGAAGGAGAAAGGAUGCACCUCCCUGGUGUGAGAUAGAGCCCCUGGUCCAGAGCAGCCUCUCCCCAGCACGAGGUGCCCAGGGUGCCCUGGCACCCUCCCACCAUGGGGUUUGGUAAGAUGUCCAUCCCCUUUCCACCUACUGGGCUUCUUCCCUUUCCCAAGUGGAAGAUGCCUGUGGGGCUGGAAAGGUACCUCCAAUCCUGCCUGAUCCAUCCUACCCCCAUCCUCAUCCUUACACUGUUCCCAUCUCCAUCCCAUCCCAACUCCAUCCCACCUGCAUCCCCAUCCCACCCCAACUCUAUCCCACCUGCAUCCCUAUUCAAUCCCAACUCCAUCCCACCUGCAUCCCCAUUCCAUCCCAUCCUAUCCCCACCCUCAUCCUCAUCUCUGUCAUCAUCUUAUGCCCCUCCAUCCCACCCCACUCUCACCUCCUCCCAGCCCGCUGGCUCCAGAUGCUUCCCCCUGCCCCAUCCUCUCCGCAAGGCACCAUCCUGCACCCUGGUCCUGCUGGAGUUUGGGACAGCCUUGGGUUUGCAUUGCUCUUUGGAAGGUGGUUGGGAAGGAGGGGAGUGCUCAGCCUGUCUGUGCAAACACAUCUCCACCACCCGAGCAUCUCCCCAGCUGCAUUAACCCCUCGGCAGCCAGAGUGCACAGGCACUGCCGAGGGGCUUGAACUAUGUGAAAACACAGGAUUUGGGCACAAUCUUCAUUCUUUCCUGCAGAGACCGUUAAUGAGCAGUGGUGGGAUGGGGAACCCAAGCAACAGCCGAUGUUCAAAUACGGGACUGGAAACAGAGGUGAAGGACAACUGCAGUCCUCGGGCUGGAGGCUCUGCACUUCUGAGCACCCAGAGAUGCUCCUGCUGACUUUUCCUCGUUGUUUUCAGGGACUGAGACUUUCCUUCAACUGUUUCUUUUUGUAAAAACUCAUAAUGCAACUUUUUUUUAAUUAAAACAAAAGAAGAACGCAGACCCAACGCUAUGGCCAGGCUGUGAGCCUGGCACCAGCCCAGCGACUGGAAAUGAAGCAAGACCAGACCAACCUUGUCAUGGGGAUAUUAGUAAAAGUGAAGGGAGAAAAAUCGAAGUGUUUUCAUGGAAAUUUCCAUUUUUGAAGAAAAAAAAAAUAAAAGAAGGACUAAACUUG